rnacentral:rRNA from 1 species
CGGCGGACGGGUGAGUAACGCGUGGGUAACCUGCCUCAGUACAGGGGGAUAACAGUUGGAAACGGCCUGCUAAUACCGCAUAAGCGCACAGUACCGCAUGGUACGGUGUGAAAAACUCCGGUGGUAUGAGAUGGACCCGCGUCUGAUUAGGUAGUUGGUGGGGUAACGGCCUACCAAGCCGACGAUCAGUAGCCGACCUGAGAGGGUGACCGGCCACAUUGGGACUGAGACACGGCCCAA